rnacentral:rRNA from 1 species
UAAGGAAUAUUGCGCAAUGGGCGAAAGCCUGAUCCAGCCAUGCCGCGUGUGUGAAGAAGGUCUUCGGAUUGUAAAGCACUUUAAGUUGGGAGGAAGGGUUGUAGAUUAAUACUCUGCAAUUUUGACGUUACCGACAGAAUAAGCACCGGCUAACUCUGUGCCAGCAGCCGCGGUAAUACAGAGGGUGCAAGCGUUAAUCGGAAUUACUGGGCGUAAAGCGCGCGUAGGUGGUUUGUUAAGUUGGAUGUGAAAUCCCCGGGCUCAACCUGGGAACUGCAUCCAAAACUGGCAAGCUAGAGUAUGGUAGAGGGUGGUGGAAUUUCCUGUGUAGCGGUGAAAUGCGUAGAUAUAGGAAGGAACACCAGUGGCGAAGGCGACCACCUGGACUGAUACUGACACUGAGGUGCGAAAGCGUGGGGAGCAAACAGGAUUAGAUACCCCAGUAGUCCCUGAGCGGGCUGGCAAGGCGCAU